GUGAUCAUGUAGUUUCUGAAAGGCACAGAAUCGAGGAUAGACAUUUCAACAACUAACGUUAGCAGGCUAAAUCUACAACUACCAUACAACUAACUACCUGAACAUUACUGAUAAUUAGUCAGCAAUUAAAUCAGGUUUGUGUCAAGAACUGCAACACUGCUGGAUUUUUCACAGUCAACAAUUUCCCUUGUGUAUCAAGAAUGGUCCACCAUGCAAAGGACCACCAGCCGACCUGAUACAACUGUGGGAAGCAUUGGAGUCCAUAUGGGCCAGCAUCCCUGUGGAAUAUUUUCAACACCUUAUAGAGUCCAUGCCCCGACGAAUUGAGGCUGUUCUGAGGGAGGGCAACUCAAUGCUAGGAAGGUGUUCUUAAUGUUUUGUAAACAUAGUGUAUGCCCAACAUAUUAGCCGAACACAUGAUACAUUUCUGAAAUCCUCAGAAGUUUCCUAAUCAUACAACAUUAUAUUGAAUUGUCAUUGGAGUACAAUUAGGACUUUAACAAUGUUAUCCCAAUUUAUCUAACCUGCUGUCCCAGUCUACCAAAUGUAAACUGAACAUGGUUUAGACUCAGUUGAGGAUUUCAGACAUGUCAAUGUAUCAUGUGUUGGGCUAAUACUGUAUGUUGGAUAUCUCUUCUUAUUAUUGGCGUCAUUUAGUUUUGGUUUCUUUGCAGUAAUUGGACCAUGAAGACCUGAUUCACAAUCUUCUCUGAACAGUUUAUGUUGAGAUGUGUCUGUUACUUGAACUCUGUGAAGCAUUUAUUUGGGCUGCAAUUUCUGAGGCUGGUAACUCUAAUGAACUUAUUCUCUGCAGCAGAAGUAACUCUUGGUCUUUCAUUCCUGUGGCAGUCUUCAUGAGAACUAGUUUCAUCACAGCGCUUCAUAGUUUUUUGACAGCACUUGAAGAAACUGUCAAAGUUCUUGAAAUUUUCCAUAUUGAAUGACCUUGAUGUCUUAAAGUAACGGACUGUUUUUUCUCAUUGCUUAUUUGAGCUGUUAUUGCCAUAAUAUGGACUUGGUCUUUUACCAAAUAGAGCUAUAUUCUGUAUACCCUCCUACCUCGUCACAACACCUGAUUGGCUCAAACGCAUUAAGGAAAUAAAUUCCACAGAUUAACUUUUAAGAAGGCACACCUGUUCUUUUAAAUGUAUCCUCGUGAAGUUGGUUGAGAGAAUGCCAAGAGUGUGCAAAGCUGUCAUCAAGGCAAAGGGUGGCUAUUUGAAGAAUCUCUUUUUUAAAAACACUUUUUGGGUUACUACAUGAUUCCAAAUGUGUUAUUUCAUAGUCUUGAUGUUUUCACUAUUAUUAAAAUGUAGAAAAUAGUACAAAUAAAGAAAAAACAUUAAAUGAGCAGGUGAUUAAAAA